UCACUUGUCUUUUAAAUGGAGACUUGUAUGAAUGGCAAAACCUUUUUUGACUGUCUCCCUCCUUGACCUUCUAAACUUCUACCCGUGUGAAGAAGCGCGGAUGUAAUAGAAAGACGAGAAGACCCUGUCGAGCUUCAGUCUAAAAGUGAACUGGCCCCUAAUUAACCCACUAUCACUAAAAGACUUUGGUUGGGGCAACCAUGGAGAAAAAGAACCCUCCAGAAAGAAUAGAAGAGAGCCCCUCUCUAUUUACUCCCUAAGAGAACCAGAAACUGGUAAACGGAAAAAGUUACCGCAGGGAUAACAGCGUCAUCUCCUUUAAGAGUCCUUAUUGACAAGGAGGUUUGCGACCUCGAUGUUGGAUUGGGGCCCCCUUAGGGUGCAGAAGCUCUAAACGGUCAGACUGUUCGUCUAUUAAAGCCCU
rnacentral:rRNA from 1 species